rnacentral:pre_miRNA from 1 species
UCAUUCGUCAAAGUGGCUGUGACUGUGUAGUCUUGAGUCAUAUCACAGCCAGCUUUGAUGAGCGACU